UACGUAGGGGGCAAGCGUUAUCCGGAUUUACUGGGCGUAAAGCGUGCGCAGGCGGUUUUGUAAGUCUGUCGUGAAAGCCCCGGGCUCAACCUGGGAACUGCAUUUGAGACUGGAGAGCUUGAGUUCGGGAGAGGAUGGUGGGAAUUCCCAGUGUAGGAGGUGAAAUUCGUGAGAUAUUGGGAAGAACACCGGUGGCGAAGGGCGGCCAUCGUGGACCGAUACGUGGACGC
rnacentral:rRNA from 1 species